rnacentral:rRNA from 1 species
UACGAAGGGGGCUAGCGUUGUUCGGAAUUACUGGGCGUAAAGGGCGCGUACGCGGCUUAUCAAGUCAUGCGUGAAAGCCCCGGGCUUAACCUGGGAACUGCGCUUGAGACUGGUAGGCUAGAGUACCGGACAGGUAGGUGGAAUUCCCAGUGUAGAGGUGAAAUUCAUAGAUAUUGGGAAGAACACCAGUGGCGAACGCGGCCUACUGGACUGUAACUGACGCUGAGGCGCGAAAGCGUGGGGAGCAAACAGG